rnacentral:rRNA from 2 species
UACGUAGGGUGCGAGCGUUAAUCGGAAUUACUGGGCGUAAAGCGUGCGCAGGCGGUUCGUUGUGUCGGUGGUGAAAUCCCCGGGCUUAACCUGGGAAUGGCCAUGGAAACUGGCGAACUGGAGUGCGGCAGAGGGGGGUGGAAUUCCGCGUGUAGCAGUGAAAUGCGUAGAGAUGCGGAGGAACACCGAUGGCGAAGGCAGCCCCCUGGGCUAGCACUGACGCUCAGGCACGAAAGCGUGGGGAGCAAACAGG